UCUAUCUGGGUUAAAAACAAAAACUGUAAUUUAACAACAUUUUAUAUAUCAAAAAUGGCUAACAUUCGUUGUGAUACAUUAGGUACUUGUUGCAAUUUAUUCGACAAAAUUAUGAAGCGUUUUAUUUCUUUUCGCAUGAGAAUUGAAUAUAAAAAAGGAGAAUUAAAACAAAAAUAUUUAAUAGCAAGACAAUGGCUAGACAUUCUAUUGUCAAAUAAUAUAUUACAUGUGUACUGUAUAUUUAUGUAUAUUUAUAGUGUUCUGACAUAAAUAAUAUGAUUGAAAACAUGUUUCUUCUCUUUUUGUUCCUAUCCUACUAUUUGAAUAAUAUCGCUCGCAAAGCAUAGAUUCGAGACAUCUUAUUGGUUCUGCCAUAUUUUGUCAAAACCAAUAGAAAAUCUGACAACAUAUACUAGACUCUUACUAUAGAGACUCUAGUUCAACUGGCUCUGGGUUAACCUAGUGUCCCUAGAAUACAGAGUCUGGCCAUUCGGGCCGGAUUCCCUCAAAAUGGCAUAUGUAUGUCAUGAGUGAACAGCGGAAGUUUCCUAGUCGUUUCGUAGUGGUUUUGACUAAAACAGAUAUCAAGAGAGAUACAUAUAAUGGGCGCAUUCAGUAGAAAAAGCGCUCAGUGAGCAAUCAACGAUUAUUGGUUCUUGCUAUUAGAUCCCUAAAUCUAGACCAAUUACAUUGACAAAUUACUCAACUGUUGUGCAACUGUUGAGUCUGCUGAAUGCAGCCAAUGCCUUCCUGCUGUGUAAGAAAAUGUUCCAACUCUUCGAAAAAGGGUUUUUCUAUGCAUUGCCUUCCACAAAAUAUGGAGCGAAAAAAGCAAUGAAUUGCGAAUAUUGAUAGGGAUUUCGACCUGUCCAAAAUAUAUUUUAUCUGCGAGGCACAUUUUCCAGCUGAGAUGUGGGAAAAGCCACGUAGUGAUGGCAAAAAGAAAUUAAAAGAGAUAGUUCCAACGAUUUUUUUGGACAACGG